CUCACCGCAGUACGGGCAAUCGUAGGGCUGGCCACUGCGCUCUCCACCCACCGGGCUGGAGAAGGGACGGUCGUCGGCGUGCACCCGCUGGUGGGACAGCAGCUUGGAGGAUCAGGUGAAGCCUUUGCCGCACAGGGCACAGGUGAACGGGCGCUCGCCGGUGUGGGUGCGCUGGUGGGACAGCAGGAUGUUGGACUCGGUGAAGCCCUCGCCGCACUGGGCGCAGGUGUAGGGCCGCGCCCCCGUGUGUGUACGCUGGUGGGACACCAGGUUGCUGGAGCGGAUGAAGCCCUCGCCGCAGUUGCUGCAGAUGUAGGGCCGCUCAGCGGAGUGCACGCGCCUGUGCACCUUCAGGCCCGGUGACGAC